rnacentral:lncRNA from 1 species
CCCGGCCUGGACUCUUGGAGAUGAUGAGGGACCACUCAGACCUAACGGACGACCUAGAACAAAGCACCUCACAGAGGAAGUGCUCCAGCAGGGCUGGUUUGGGGCUGCAAGGACAGCGACCCAGGCCUGCUCUCCACUGCCCCAUGAUGUGGGGAACUGGGGUGGCCGUAUCGAUCCUACUGUGGCUAAUCCGUGAUGGCCCCCGGUGCUUGCUGCCCACCUGGGAUAGAAAGAUGUGGAAGUGACACACAGCUGACUAACUUGGGGAGAGAAAGGAAGACCGCGAUGGGAAGAAACAAAGGCGGCAUUUUUUGUGUGAAAAGAAGACGUGUUUGAGGUGUUCCACAGUCCUGUGCCGGUAGAGAGCAUCCUGGGGCAGCUGUGCACAGCUCGUGUUGGAGUCACCUUCGCUGAAAGCCAGUGAUUCCCAUGGCCGUGCCCCUCCAUUUAUUGUUUUCCCUUUUAUUAGUGUGUGUUUGUAAAACACUAUAGUAAAGAUACUCAGCGUGGGGAAUCACUACAUAUUCAUGUCACAUCUCGAUCCUCUUUGCUUCCCCUUUCCCUCUCCUCCCUCUCAUCUCCCCGUCACUGUCUGCUUCCCAUCCUUUCAGAUAACCAACUCUUCGAUUCAUUAAUCCUUUGCAUUAUUUUUUUGUCUCGAUUUCACCAAUUUAAGCUCCAACCUUUGUCAUUUCUUUCCUUCUACUCGUUUUACCAUUGAGUUGCUGUUGUUUCUCUAGAACCUUGAGAUUUAUGUAUUUGCAGUCACUCUGUUCUUGUUGUGUGUGCGUUGGUAGCUGUAAGCUUGCUUCCCUCUUAGAACUGCUUUCGUUGGGUACCAUAGGUUUUGUCAUGUGCUUCCAUGAUCAUUCCAUUCUAGAACUUUUAAAAAAUUUCUUCCAUAAUCCAUCAAUUAUUCAAUAUUGUUUCAAUCUCCACUUAUUUGUGUAGCUUUAUUUCUUCCUUUUGAUUUUUAGCUUUAUUCCUC